rfam:Deltaproteobacteria bacterium RBG_19FT_COMBO_56_10 rbg_19ft_combo_scaffold_4725, whole genome shotgun sequence.
UUUUUUUAAACAAGACGGUCAAAGACAGUAGGGGCGCGAGCUUAAUAAUCCUACCGAGGCCAGAGAAGGCGAUUCGGGAGAACGGGGUAAACCGGGCUCCGCGGUGCGGGGGGUAGUAUUCCUUCGCGCCGGUCACUAUUUUAGGCCUUCGCAGCUCUCUGUCUUUUGAUUGAUAA